rnacentral:rRNA from 1 species
GGAUUAGAUACCCUGGUAGUCCACGCCGUAAACGAUGUCUACUAGCCGUUGGGGUACUUGAUACCUUAGUGGCGCAGCUAACGCACUAAGUAGACCGCCUGGGGAGUACGGCCGCAAGGUUAAAACUCAAAUGAAUUGACGGGGGCCCGCACAAGCGGUGGAGCAUGUGGUUUAAUUCGAUGCAACGCGAAGAACCUUACCAGGGCUUGACAUCCAGCGAACUUUCUAGAGAUAGAUUGGUGCCUUCGGGAACGCUGUGACAGGUGCUGCAUGGCUGUCGUCAGCUCGUGUUG